rnacentral:lncRNA from 1 species
GUAACUUAAUUAUUAGCACGGAGUUCUCCGCGCCUCACACUAUAGUCGUUGUUCCCAAGGUCACGCUAAAAACAAGAAUCCAUUCUUUCAUGAUAAAUGGCACGCACCCUAAGGAGAGUUGUGAAGCUGAAUUUUGAUGCAGCUAUGGAUAAAGAAAGAUCAAUAGCUGGGGUAGGAGUUAUCGUGAGAAACACUAAGGGGGAGGUCUUGGGAUCAGUAUUGAGCAAGGAAUGAAAGAUCCAGAAAUUGCAGAGGGAAUGGCAGCUGUAAAAGCUGUAGAAUUUGUGCUAUGAUGGGGCUCCGUGAAGGUUUUUUGGAAGGUAUUGCACAUAUGAUUUUGAUUACAGACAGGAAAAUUAUUGAGUAUAUAAAUAAAUAAAUUAUCUUAUUGGAAAGAGAGAAAUGGAGAUUCUCCAUCAAUCAAACAUCUCCGUGUAGUGUUUUCUCCUCUUUGUACUAUAUAUCUCAAAUUAGCCAAUUAUUUUGAGUAGGUACUCCAUCAUCUCAAGCCCACUCAUGUUUGUCAUCACUAAUUACUAAAGAAAUGAUAAAAAAGCAAAUUUAGCAAAUUCCUAUACAUCAAUUCUGCCCAUCUAUCUCCAUCAGCAAUAUUUAUCCAAUUCUAUCACUUUCAUCUUUGGCCCUUUGGAUUAGCCUAGACGUUUAUUAUCCAUCUUUGGUAUUUGAAAUUGAAAGAUCCUCUCCACUCCACUACAAAAUAUUACUAGAGAUCUUCUAAGAUUUUUUAAAGUCUACUAUCAGGAUAAAAAUAAUUCACAUCGUUCUUUCUAUUUUGUUUCUUCAAAAUUAUCCAUUUCAUUAAAUUUAACACCGUUUCAAUUUUUCACUAUCGUUUUCCCACCAUUUCACCCAAUUUUCAUACUUUCUUCUUUCUUUUGCUCCAUAUUUUUUCACUGUUAAACUUGAGAAAGGCAUAUCAAGGGGCCAAAUCCUUCUUCCUCUUGUUAUCUCUUAUUUGCGGGGGACCGAUAGUUAGGCUCAUCAUGAUUGAAGAUAAUGCAGCCUGGAAAAUAAUAGUUGAAGUGCAACUAUCUCUUUUCUUUUUUUUUUUCUAAGUACACCAAUAAUAGAUGACAUCACUUGCUGUCAACUUGUUCUAUUUUAUUAUUAGAUGUAGAUUAUGCUGGAAUUGUCACCACUGUAAUAUACAAAAUCUAAAAAUAUAGAAUUUAUGUGUCUUGCUGCAGCGAGUGUUUUUUGGGUACAAAGAAGCUAUGUUUCUUUGUGUAAUGACUAUGACUAUGUAAUGUUUGUUGAAAUGUAUCAAUGAAUUUUCAACACAUUAUUGUUAUGAAAUCUGUUCUAUUUUGAGUUAGUUUGAAUCCUUGUUGUGUUUUCUUUGUACUCUCAUAUUUCAGUCUACAUAGUACCAAAAGAUAUACUGAAAUUCAACUAGUUUUGUAUUUAAAUUUGAUCAUGAUAAUAUGAAUUCUUUCAUUCAAUCCCAAACAAAUUGCUUCUCCCUUCUACAAAUGCCUCAAUGUAAAACAACAGAUUGAAACAUCUAGGUGAACUUCAACAAGUUAAUGUGAUAUUUUUUUUUUUUUUGUAUAAAUUUAAACAAAAAUAAACUUAAAAUUUUCAAAAAAAAAAAAAAAAGACAAAGUUUAGUUGAUUGAUAAAACAUUUGCUAGAAACAAUAAGCGGAGGAAGGAUUUUACCCCUUAACAUGCCCUGCACAAGUUUAACAGUGG